rnacentral:tRNA from 3 species
GCUCCCGUAGCUCAGAUGGAUAGAGCGUCCCCCUCCUAAGGGGAAGGCCACUGGUUCGAAUCCAGUCGGGAGCACCA